CCUACGGGAGGCAGCAGUGAGGAAUAUUGGUCAAUGGCCGGAAGGCUGAACCAGCCAUGCCGCGUGAAGGUCAGUGCCCUAUGGGCGUUAAACUUCUUUUGUGCGGGAGCAAUAAUGGUCACGUGUGGCCAGACGAGAGUACCGUACGAAUAAGCAUCGGCUAACUCCGUGCCAGCAGCCGCGGUAAUACGGGGGAUGCAAGCGUUAUCCGGAUUUAUUGGGUUUAAAGGGUGCGUAGGCUGUGAGGUAAGUCAGCGGUGAAAUGCCCCCGCUCAACGGGGUGAAGUGCUAUUGAUACUGCCUUGCUGGAAUGCGGAUGCCGUGGGAGGAAUGUGUGGUGUAGCGGUGAAAUGCAUAGAUAUCACACAGAACACCGAUUGCGAAGGCAGCUCACGAAUCCGCGAUUGACGUUGAUGCACGAAAGUGUGGGUAUCAAACAGGAUUAGAUACCCUAGUAGUC
rnacentral:rRNA from 1 species